rnacentral:rRNA from 1 species
UGGGGAAUAUUGCACAAUGGGCGAAAGCCUGAUGCAGCGACGCCGCGUGAGGGAUGACGGCCUUCGGGUUGUAAACCUCUUUCAGCAGGGAAGAAGCGAAAGUGACGGUACCUGCAGAAGAAGCGCCGGCUAACUACGUGCCAGCAGCCGCGGUAAUACGUAGGGCGCAAGCGUUGUCCGGAAUUAUUGGGCGUAAAGAGCUCGUAGGCGGUUAGUCGCGUCUGCUGUGAAAACUCGAGGCUCAACCUCGGGCUUGCAGUGGGUACGGGCUGACUAGAGUGCGGUAGGGGUGACUGGAAUUCCUGGUGUAGCGGUGGAAUGCGCAGAUAUCAGGAGGAACACCGAUGGCGAAGGCAGGUCACUGGGCCGCAACUGACGCUGAGGAGCGAAAGCAUGGGGAGCGAACAGGAUUAGAUAGCCCUGGUAGUCCAUGCCGUAAACGUUGGGCACUAGGUGUGGGUCCAUUCCACGGAUUCCGUGCCGCAGCAAAGCGCAUUAAGUGCUCCGCCUGGGGAGUACGGCCGCAAGGCUAAAACUUAAAUGAAUUGACGGGGUCAUAGCUGUUUCCU